AGACGGUGGAGCUGCCGUAGUUUUCCACAGUAGUGGAAACCAGCGCUCCGUCUCUGCUCCCGGGCCGGGGGUUUUGGAACUUGGCUUACUUCUGCCUGAUCAGAAUCUGGCUCCGGGAGCCAGCUGCUCUGAGGUUUCCUUCUCUGGGCAGCCAGGGCCACAUAGGCUUCAGAGGAGAGAGCACCUGUGUCUUAUUUGGCCUCCUUUGUGUCCCUUGAUACUCACAGCAAAGACAUCAGGAGCUUGGCUGAGCGUGUGGAGUGUGCCAGUGCCUACUGCUUUGGGGACCGUCUCUGCUGACCCUCCCAGGCCCCGGGGAGGGGGGAGCAGCUUUUCACACUCCCAGAAGGAGCCCCAGGAGGUCAGGUGGUUUGUCCAAGAUAGCACAGUUAGAGUCCUGCUUGCCACAGACCACAGCUAGGCUCUGAACCCUUCUGCCACUCUCUUCCCAAGAAGGGGAGAGGGAAACCCAGGCCUGCAGCCCCUCAGCUGUGUCCAGGGCAGCCCACAGUUAAGGGGACGGGACAUUUGGCCAGGGAGUCAGUGACCAGAAGAGGAAGGGCAGCUCCCUGGAAGUGGGCUGCACGGCCCCAUUUCCCCUGUGCUGCAGGCAGGGGCAAGGCCAGGGGCCUUUUAGUUGGAGCUUGGGGGCACCCAGGAGGCAGCUCCGCCUUGACCGCCCCGUGGCAGGAUUUGUCCUGCUUCCCGAAAGGCCAGGCCACAGGUACUGCCUGGAAAAUUCUUUAUGGGCUGCUGCCUUCCAGGUGGCUCACUGGGAGUGGCUCCUGAAGCAGGUGCUGGGCAAGUCCCAACCAGAUCCCUCCCUGCCACCAAAGCAGCGGGGCAGGCCAGGCUGGCAUGGUGUGGAACGGGGGAAGGGAGUGAACAGCCGAGCAAUUGACUGAGCUGUCCUGGGCCCCUAGCCUGACUGUCUGGGCUGCCCUUUGGGCUCCAGGUCCUCUCCACUUGCGGGUGCAAAGGCUUUGUGCCCCACUAUGGAGUCAGAUAACUUAGGGAGCACAGUAUUGUACUUGCAAUGUCCUUCAUCUAGAAAUCCCAGGUUGGUACUGCUGAGUCUGUGUGAGUUCAUGGUUUUGUGGACCCCUAAGCCUCAAGCAAAGUGAAUCCCUGAGCUCUCCCCAGUGGUUGACCACAGGUGGGAGGAGAUGAGGCCCAGAAGGGCCCACGUAGAGCCUGGUGCUGGUCAGCAGAAGGGGCAGGGAAGCUGCCCCCGGCACAGCACACCUGCUCCCUCUGGCUGCAUCCAAUGGGAUGUGGACAGAGGCCACAGACCUCUCUCCCAAGCCGCAUGGCCUUCUCAUUCUCCAGGCGUGGCCCAGCCCGUGUUGGCUUUGGAAAGGAGGCUGUGAUAGACAGUCCUUAGAAUGUGGACACUGCUGGGUUCCCAGACUGGCUGCAGAUCUGGCUUUGGCGGAGUCUUGGUGAUCACCGAGUUCCCCAGGCUGGGCUUGAAUGUGUGAGCCUCUGCCUCUGUCUCCCAGAGUGCUGGGUUAUAGGAGGAUGCUGUUUCAAAGGGAUGCCUUGUGAAAGGUACUCAGAGCGGCCCGGGAACUGAGCAUCGAGCGUGUGGGGGUCUGCUGUCCGGGCAGGGCUUCACUUGUCAGAUCCAGAGACCCCAAUUGCAGGCGGUCCUCUCUUCCCCGAGCCAGCCUGAGCUCUGCCUGGGCACCUCUCCUCUGCCCAGCCAGGCUGUGCCUUUUCUCAGUGGUGUUUUCUGUCUGGCCAGCUUUGGAGUACCGAGGCAGUGAAACCUGGGUGCUGUCACAGCACCUUCCCACCUUCGAGAAAACCUGGGGCUUAUGACCAUGAGUACAUGUUUACUCGGCAACAGCAAGAGGAUCUGGGCUCCAGGGCAAAGUGCUCAGCUUUGUUGCAGCUAUCAGACGGGCUGAGACGCAGGUGUGGGGAUCCGCUGAGGGCUCCGAUGUGCGGAGCUGAGGGGGGCUGGAGGCCAGGGCUGAUGCUGCAGCUCUGUGUUUCUCGCGUGCCCUGGUGGUGCCCAGACCCGCCUUUGUGUAGAGGCUGGAUCCAUCACCUCAUGGCAUCGUGCCAUGUUGCAGUGGGGAAACUGAGGCUCAGGAAGGCCUUGACCUACAUGAGGUUGGGAGCACUUGCCUGGGUUGGAGAAAGCCUCUGCCUGUUCUCUGCUGCUUGAAUCUGCCUUGAUGGCAGGGAGGGCCUCCCGUUCCACAGAUAGAACUUGACGAGUUGGGACGAAGGAAAUGCUGAGCCUCACUGGUCUCUUGCUGGCUCCACGCCCCAGCUCCCCUGGCCUCUGCACCCGGCUUGAGUGACAGAUGCUCCAGGAGGGGCAGGUCCUUCUGGAGCCAGCCUGGCUCCCUGAGCCCGGGACUCUUCAGACCCCUCCGUGUAGAUCUCCAUGCAAAGCAGCUGGCUCCUCGCCUGUGCAGAGUCACCAGGUGUGCAGACGGGCUGUGCUGGGUUCUGUGGGUGGCGGCCGCUUCAGUCCUGCCCCAGUGCCUGCUCUGUAGGCGCCUUUGAGCCUCCUCCUGAAGUCGCGAGGCUGCCCCCUGCGCUCACCCAUCCCAGUGAAUUUAGGCCAGGAGGAAGAGUCCAGCUCUUAUGGAGCUGGAGAACCCACAGGAACUGGCUGCAAGUGUUUGGCG
ensembl:lncRNA